AGUGAACGCUGGCGGCAGGCCUAACACAUGCAAGUCGAGCGGCAGCGGGUUCCCGCGAGGGGAUGCCGGCGAGCGGCGGACGGGUGAGGAACACAUCGGAAUCUGCCUGGUUGUGGGGGAUAACGUAGGGAAACGUUACGCUAAUACCGCAUGCGACCCUGAGUCGACGGACUGGGGGUGGAAAGUGAGGGACCUUCGGCCGUCACGCGACCAGAUGAGCCGAUGUCGGAUUAGCUAGUUGG
rnacentral:rRNA from 1 species